UUUACACAUGCUAAAAGUACGAAAAGCAAUUUAGAGACAUCCGCUGAUGUAUUCAAACGGCGGAUGAACAUGGAACCUUCAAUGAUACACGUGUUGAGAUUUUAAAAGUAAUUAACGCAUGUUUUUCUCAAAAUUCUCACGGUCAAUGAUUAUGACACAAUAACCCAAAUGUCUGACCUAGUAACAUAUUUAUGGUCAUUAUGCUACACAGUUAGAAGCGUUUGCAGCUAAUCUGACCAAUCACAAACCUAGCUAAUGAUGUAUGAUGAGGUAAUUAAAAGUUCUAAUUAUAGAAUAGGUAACGAGGUACAAACAUUAGAACCAAAUUGUUGGAUCUUCAUUACUAAAUUUAAUAAGAUAUAAUUACUGUAUUGAUUUUGAAAACAACCUCAAUUUUGACUCCUUCACGUUUAUUGAUGAAGAGUUGUCCUCUAUUGAUCAUGUGUCUUUAUUAUUAUUGUUAUUUAUUAGAAUGUGAAUCUCAUGUUUAUGCUUUGUACAUACUGAGAAUUUAAUAAUAAACCUAACCUCGAGGCGUGUAAUUCCAUUUUGUCCUCAGAUAAAGUAAAGUGUUUGCCAAAACAAGAAAACAAUGGGCAGAACUAAACAAACUGGACUUUAGGAAGGGGAUCUGAGGUUAUGGAGCCUGUGUAUCACAGGAACUUUCAAAAGACAAAAUAAGUUUUGAAAGAAGUAAAAACUUGGUCCCAGUAGGGCUUGAACCUACGUCCCCUAAGAAUUGCAGUAAAAGUAGUUUUAUGGUAGGAAUUGGAUACUCUUCAAAAUAGGAAGAUCUCUAUUAGUGAUCUAAUACCUUAAAAAGCAUAUUAUAAAUUAAAAUUUUACAGUGCUCACAAUCAUGCGGAGAGGGCUAUCGGACACGUAGUGUAUCUUGUUUAAGGUAUAGCGGUAUUGAUACAGAAAUUGACAGUAAAUUUUGUGAUCAGCAUACUCGACCUCACGAUACAGAUAGAUGUCGAAAUGGUCCUUGUUAUGUGCUCGACGGAAACUGUGUGGAUAAAAGUCCUGCCUGUAAGAAGUACUACGACUAUGAGAAGACUGCCUGUGACGGAAACUACAGAACCUGGAUGAUGACCAACUGUUUACAAAUAUGUGGAGUAUGCGGCAACGGAUCGUGCGAGGAUGAGGAAACAUGUAAGAGAGUUGAUCCAGGAGUAGAUGCAUGCCAUAACCCGAAAUAUAAAAUAUGGAUGCAGACGCAUUGUCCUGAGUCAUGCAAUAUUUGUCGUGACUGUGUUGACUGCUCAAAAUACGAUGUACAGUAUUGUAAAGACAACGCAUAUGAGAGAUUUAUGAGGAAAAACUGUCGUAAAACAUGCAAUUUCUGUCAAUACUGACGAAGUGCAGUUCGCAGGGUAACGUGUAUAAACAAAUUGUGACGGACAUAAACUUCGAAAACACAUACUGUGUAUUGCAUCAUUCAUUACUUUGGGGGUACAGGUCCGUUGAGUUUUGCCGUAGGAACCUGUAAAAGACAUGCUUGUUUGUUAGCACAUGUGUUGAUAAAAUAUACUGAAAUAAAAUAUAUAUCUAUU
rnacentral:lncRNA from 1 species